rnacentral:lncRNA from 10 species
UAUCUCUACAUUUUUUUUUCCUGGUGAAGCUUUGAAUAUUUUCUUAUGCUAUCUCCCAGUCAACUGCUCACUUCCCACCUCAUUGUCUGGCAGCAGGGAGCUGGGGCAGAAAAAUAGCAAAUCUAUUCUUUUUGUGGAUCCGUUCUUUUCACGGACAUGUUCGUGAGGCAUCCAUUGCAUCAGGGAAGAUUAGGACAUCAUAGCAGGGAAUGCAAAGAGAAAGGAGCUUCUUUGUUCUGCUUUGAAGUAUUCAAAUAAGAUCUUAAAUAUCAAAACAAUAGCAACGUCUUGAGAGAAAAAGAUGCUCUGAACCUCUACGAGCUAAGGCCCUGGACUAAACAGUAGGCAAAGAAGAUGGGUCAGCAUAAGCUUUCUCCACCCCUAGAGAGCAGCCUUCUCGAGGAUAUUGGAGAUAUUCUGCCCUGCCUGCCACCUCUCACCUCCUCUUUCCUGGAGCAGGAGGAGUGACUUACCUGUUUGCUGGGAAGGGGAGAAAUUAACACCCACUGCUCCACGUGGGAAAGAAGGAUGUAUUAAAUUAAAGGUCUCCAUUCUCAAAUGGCCCUUUUCCUUCUCUUUGAAAACAGCUUCCUCUUAGCAGGUAUGCACGCAUGCAUUCUCCUCUGUGUGACAAGAGAUUUACUCUGUCAUGGGAGGCCUGAAGUGCUCCAGCAGCUCCGGGUGACCAGGUGAAUAAGUCAGGACAAAGACAGGGUGAGCGUACUGGGGGUGUGUGGCAUAUUAGGAAGCUCGUUUGGCUGCAGGUGCAUCGCUUUUCC